rnacentral:tRNA from 1 species
GCCAUCGUGGCGCAUAGGUUAGCAUGUCGGCCUUUGACGCUGAACACCUGGGUUCGAAUCCCGGCGUGAACA